UACGUAGGGUGCGAGCGUUGUCCGGAAUUAUUGGGCGUAAAGAGCUUGUAGGCGGUUUGUCGCGUCUGCUGUGAAAAUCCGGGGCUCAACCCCGGACUUGCAGUGGGUACGGGCAGACUAGAGUGUGGUAGGGGAGACUGGAAUUCCUGGUGUAGCGGUGAAAUGCGCAGAUAUCAGGAGGAACACCGCUGGCGAAGGCAGGUCUCUGGGCCACUACUGACGCUGAGAAGCGAAAGCAUGGGGAGCGAACAGG
rnacentral:rRNA from 1 species